rnacentral:rRNA from 1 species
UACGGGGGGUGCGAGCGUUGUCCGGAAUCACUGGGCGUAAAGGGCGCGUAGGUGGCCUGAUAAGGGUGUGGUGAAAGUCCGGGGCUCAACCCCGGAUCGGCCGUGCCGACUGUUAGGCUAGAGUACUGUAGGGGCAGGCGGAAUUCCUGGUGUAGCGGUGAAAUGCGCAGAUAUCAGGAGGAACACCAAUGGCGAAGGCAGCACUCUGGGACGGUACUGACGCUGAGACGCGAAAGCGUGGGGAGCAAACAGG